UUAAAAUCGUGUUAUACGUAUUCACAGUCACCAUAUACAGCGUUCUGUUUCUUAUGGAUGUUUGCGUUUUACUGCAUUCACUAACUGCAUCCACAGUAAUUCUGAAUGUUUUCAAUUCAAAUGAUGAAGUACUGAACUUGUGUUUUUGUGUCACGGCGAUUGUUUGGUAUAAUUAUUUACAUACCACCUUUUUCUAGUAUAAAAAAAGCGUCAGAACCUCGUUUCGACAGACCCAUAACCCGCCCACUACAGCAUGAACACGCAGAGCACCAAUGAAGCGCCAGAUCGACCAAGAAUAAAACCCGCCCCACUGUCAAUUUUUCUGUUGCACCAAUUAGAAAACCUACUUGAAGGCAAUUGUCAAUCCUCUUCCUUUUUAUAUCCGCCCUUACUGUGGCACAGUUGGAUACGCGACAGACUGCUGUCUAUGGUGAUUCAACCUCCCCAAGCUGUCAGAUCGCAUAUCUGAAGCCCCAGCUGUUUUCAGUUAUGUUUCUUGGGCUGUUGUGUGAUAUAUCAUCGCCUGCACCUGGACCAGGAAGGUCAGGUUUCUGGAAGACGGGACCACUUCAGCAGUAUUGAGAAUGUCACACAAAUAACCAGCACAGUAAGACACAGCCAUGUGUGCAGAUUGGGGGUGAACAGCAUGUUUUUUUCCUCCAGUGUUUAUGGUGAGAUAACCAACAGGAUCCGGAGCUGCAGCCGCAGGCCAG